AUUGAACGCUGGCGGCAGGCCUAACACAUGCAAGUCGAGCGGAUGAAGGGAGCUUGCUCCUGGAUUCAGCGGCGGACGGGUGAGUAAUGCCUAGGAAUCUGCCUGGUAGUGGGGGAUAACGUCCGGAAACGGGCGCUAAUACCGCAUACGUCCUGAGGGAGAAAGUGGGGGAUCUUCGGACCUCACGCUAUCAGAUGAGCCUAGGUCGGAUUAGCUAGUUGGUGGGGUAAAGGCCUACCAAGGCGACGAUUCGUAACUGGUCUGAGAGGAUGAUCAGUCACACUGGAACUGAGACACGGUCCAGACUCCUACGGGAGGCAGCAGUGGGGAAUAUUGGACAAUGGGCGAAAGCCUGAUCCAGCCAUGCCGCGUGUGUGAAGAAGGUCUUCGGAUUGUAAGGCACUUUAAGUUGGGAGGAAGGGCAGUAAGUUAAUACCUUGCUGUUUUGACGUUACCAACAGAAUAAGCACCGGCUAACUUCGUG
rnacentral:rRNA from 1 species